rnacentral:rRNA from 1 species
UACGUAGGGUGCAAGCGUUAAUCGGAAUUACGGGGCGUAAAGCGAGCGCAGGCGGUCGUGUAAGACAGAUGUGAAAUCCCCGGGCUCAACCUGGGAACUGCAUUUGUGACUGCACGGCUAGAGUGCGUCAGAGGGGGGUGGAACUCCACGUGUAGCAGUGAAAUGCGUAGAGAUGUGGAAGAACACCGAUGGCGAAGGCAGCCCCCUGGGAUGACACUGACGCUCAUGCUCGAAAGCGUGGGGAGCAAACAGG